rnacentral:rRNA from 1 species
GAUGAAUGCUGGCGGCGUGCCUAACACAUGCAAGUCGAGCGGCAGCGAGUUUUACACUGAAUUCUGGAAGCUUCUGAGUAGUACAGAAGAUUUAUUCAAGAGUUUUGUGUAAAAUGUCGGCGAGCGGUGGACGGCUGAGUAACGCGUAGGAAUUUGCCCCAAAGUGAGGAAUAACUGCCCGAAAGGGUAGCUAAUGCCGCAUAUGGUCUUCGGAUUAAAGCCUUCGGGCGCUUUGGGAGAAGCCUGCGUUGGAUUAGGUAGUUGGUAGGGUAAUGGCCUACCAAGCCGACGAUCCAUAGCUGGUCUGAGAGGAUGAUCAGCCAGACUGGAACUGAGACACGGUCCAGACUCCUACGGGAGGCAGCAGUGAGGAAUCUUCCACAAUGGGCGAAAGCCUGAUGGAGCAACGCCGCGUGAAGGAUGAAGGCCUUCGGGUUGUAAACUUCUUUUAUGAGUGAAGAAUAUGACGGUAACUCAUGAAUAAGCACCGGCUAACUACGUG